GACGAACGCUGGCGGCGUGCUUAACACAUGCAAGUCGAACGGAAAGGCCCUGCUUUUGUGGGGUGCUCGAGUGGCGAACGCGUGAGUAACACGUGAGUAACCUGCCCUUGACUUUGGGAUAUCUUCAGGGAACUGCGGCUAAUACCCGAUAGGAGCUCCUGCUGCGCGGUGGGGGUUGGAAAGUUUCGGCGGUUGGGGAUGGACUCGCGGCUUACCAGCUUGUUGGUGGGGUAGUGGCUUACCAAGGCUUUGACGGGUAGCCGGCCUGGGAGGGUGACCGGCCACAUUGGUACUGAGAUACGGCCCAGACUCCUACGGGAGGCAGCAGUGGGGAAUAUUGCGCAAUGGGCGGAAGCCUGAUGCAGCAACGCCGCGUGCGUGAUGACGGCCUUCGGGUUGUAAACCGCUUUCGCCUGUGACGAAGCGUGAGUGACGGUAAUUGGUAAAGAAGCACCGGCUAACUACGUG
rnacentral:rRNA from 1 species